rnacentral:misc_RNA from 1 species
UUUCCGUAGGUGAACCUGCGGAAGGAUCAUUACAGAGUUCAUGCCCUACCGGGUAGAUCUCCCACCCUAUGUUAUUAUUACUUUGUUGCUUUGGCGGGCCGUUAGGCUCCGGCCCGACUACCGGCCCCGGCUGGUAAGCGCCCGCCAGAGGACCCAAAACCCUGAAUAUUAGUGUCGUCUGAGUACUAUAUAAUAAUUAAAACUUUCAACAACGGAUCUCUUGGUUCUG